CACACAUAUAUAUAUCUGUAUAUAUAUAUAUAUAUGUGUGUGUGUGUGUGUGAGAGUGUGUGUGUAAUGGUUGUCUGCAAGAAACACCUUUAAUUAAUCACAGCCAACCCUCAAAUAAUACGCAUAGUAUAGGACCCUUACAAUGCUACACUCCCAACUCUUCUCCCCACCCACCUUUUGUUUUCUUUCCUUCCACGGAUUCUGUGACAUCUUCCUCUCCUCAUUGACUCUGCAUGAAGGGGAUUCCUGGUGGGGGAAGGGUAGCUGGUGAGAAAUGAGGUAUCAAGAAACUAGCAAAGCAUCUUCUGGCUGUCUGUGGACAGUUCUUGUGUGGUCCCCAGCCUAGUCUCAAGGGUUCUGGGCUGGUCACCCUGCAGCCUCUGUGCUGUGUCACCAGAUUCGGGCUCUGAGGGAAGGGCCCUGGGAGGCCCAACAGAGCGGGGUGCCUUGUCUAACAUCCCCCCGUUCCUCUGGCUGUGUGGCUCAGGAAUAGGCCCAGACAGUGUGUCCAGGUGGUGCCAGGUCACCUCACUGCCCCCUUUGAGAUGGGCCCAGAGGGUUUUGUGGGGUGAGCAUGAAGCUGGGCACCCAAAGCCUGGGGCCGAGUGCCCCUCCCUGUGUCCCAGAGGAGGGGCCCUGACCUGAGAAGAUCCCCAGUGCCUGGCUUAUGGGUGCCAAUGUGGGGAGGGGUGGCUCUGAGGACUGAAGCGGGUCACUGAAAGAAGACAUUGAGCUCCAUGGCUCAGGGACCUUGGCAGUAGAGGCCUGGUAAGCAGAGACUAGGACACUGGGACUUGGUCACAAAAAAUAUGAUCAGAAAGGGCAUGGCCAUCAGAGAGUUGGUCAGGCGGCCUGGUCAUUGAGGGACUGUCAGUGAGGACCUGGUCACUGGGUGCUUGGUCAAUGGGUCUUGGUCAGUGGGGACCUGGUAAGUGGAGAUCUGAUUACUGGGGGCUUGGUCAUCAAGAGCCUGGUCAGUCAGGACCUGGUCAGUGAGGACCUGGUCAGUGAAGGACUUGUGGGGGGGCAUUGGUCAGCAGCGGCCUUGUCGGGGGAGGCUUGGUCAGUGGGGGCCUAGUUAGUGGGGUCCUGGCCAGCCGGCUGCUGGGUGACCUCAUGCAGGGGUUUGUCCUUGGAGCUUGCUUGCCGCCAUCUGUAGUGGGGAUGAGUCACAUCACCCCAGAGGGCUACUGGGAGGAGGAGAUGAGCAGGUGUGUGGAAUCCGGCCCUGCCCAACAGACCUAGCACUUUACACCCUAGCUGAGUCCCCUGCUAAAGAGGGGGCCUGCUCUCUGCCCUCCACCCUCAAUUCUCUGCUCCCCGUCCACAGGACUGCCCCACCUAGGGAGGGCUGAGGUUGGGGAACACCUGUGGACACUCUGAUGCUGGCCACAGGCCCAGGGCCGGGCGUGACAGUGACAAGGACCUGAGUGCGUACAUGAAUGGGGCCACCUGGCCCAGCCACAGAAGCAACACACCAUAUGCACGUGUUCACCCACAUAUAUGUGCACGCUCACAUUUACAAACACACUGCAUGCACACAUGUUGAUGCUUCGGGGGUGGAGGACGGUGACUGUGGGCCCUGCUGACCCAGGCGGGGGCCCAUUGUGAUGGGUGCCGUGAUCCCGUAAUGUCACUGGUGCUGAGUACCCACCCGCCUACCUGGCUGCCUUCUCUGUGUCUGGAGCUCUUAGAGACAAGAUAAACAGCGAUGUCUGGUUCUGCUCAGAGGAGGCUUUCUUAAGUGAGAGGCACAGUUGGAUCAGCAGACUCAGCUGAGUGUGACCUGCUCUGUUCCCUCCCUGCUGACCUGGGACAGUCGCUACCAGGCAGUGCUGGCCUCUGGGCGGGUGCCGAGGAGGGUCAUCCCUGAGCACUCACCAGGUAGGUGCCUGUUCUGCACUGACGGUAUAGAUGUUCGUCUUGUUGGUCGUCACAGUGACGCUGGUGGGGGUGGGUGCUGUCCCCUAAUGUACCCAUUCCACAGGUGAGAUGUCUAGGGUCAGAGAGGCAGCGACUGGUCCAGAGACCCAGAUGUGACCCUGGGCCAUGCUCUUAGCCCUGCCCUGUGCUACGCUGGACUCAAGCCCUGACCUCUGUGGCCUCCCUGCCCUGGAUUCCAAAUCCAUCCGGGGUUCCAGCCCCUGAUGGGGCAGAGUCUGGCCCUGGAAGAGCCACUGGGACAGAGAUCCUAUGGGUGAGGUGGAGGGGGUGGUCCUCAGUCCAAGUCUGUGCCCUAAGCUGGGACCCCGCGGGAGGUCUCACCAACUCAGACUUCACAUGUGGUCACUGAGGGUCAUUGUGGGACCCACUGGACACAGGGGGUCCCUUGUCUGGGAGUGGGGUGAAGAGCCUUCUGCCCUUGGGCAGUUAGGUAGGGGACUUUGAGCACUGCUGCUUUGGGACCUGGGAAGUGGGGACCUGGGCAGCGGGGUCCUCGUCAUUGAGAACAUGGUCAGUGAGAGAUUUGGUCAUCAUGGGUUGGGUCAGGGGGGCCUGGUCAGCAGAGACUUGGACACUGGGGCUUAGUGAAAAUAUGAUCAGUGGGGAAAUAGUCACGGGGCCUGCUCAGUAGGGCCUGGCUAGCAGAGGCCUGGCCAGCUGGCCACUGGAUGACCUGACAGGGGGUUUGUCCUUGGAGCCUCUUUGCCUCUAUUCAUAGUGGGGAUGAGUCAUAGCAUCCCUCAGCACUCGCCAGGUGCAGGUUUUGUGCUGACCUUGUAGAUGGCCUUUUCCUUCAUCCCCACAGCAACUCCAUGGGGCGGAUCCUGUCCCCGAAUGUAGCCAUUCCACAGGAAAACGAAGCCCCCUCCUGUAUUGACAGCUGGGAAUUGUGGAGUCCACCGUCCUCCACCUGAGACGAGCACAGGGUCUCCACGAGGACAGAGGCUGCUUUGGACUCAAUAGAAAACUGGGCAUCUUCAUGGUCCUAGAAGGAUCCCAGGAGGCUGAUCCUAUAGAGACGUCUGGUUCCUGACCCCAACUGCCUCCAGGUGCCUGGAACAGCCCAUCGUGGGCCCUUUACCCUCAGCAGGUGGACGCCGUUGGUCCUGCCAGGGCAAGUGUGUGUCUGUCUUAGGGCAUUUGGGAACAAUGGGCCUCUCUGUCCAGGUCCCCCUGUGUUCAAGUCCUCAGGAAGGAGCCUACUCCUGGUCCAGGGCAGGGACUCUAGAGACUAGGGCAUGGGUGGGAAUACUGGAUUUAACCCUUUGUCUUGGGGAGCAAUCGUGGAAUGGGGCUCACCUGUCUGGCCAGCAUUUGGGGGUCUGGUGGGAGCCGUUCGGGUGUUCUCUGGAGCUCUCGGGUGCUGCAGAGCCUUUGGAUGACUUUGUCUUGCAGGAUGGAGAUGGAUGAGCACCCGGAUAUCCUGCCCACCCAGGGGCAAGGCAACAUCAUCAUUACUAAGUAUGAGCAGGGACGCUGAGCUGGGGCAGCAGUGGACACAGAGCAUGAGCGUGUUGACAUCUGGAAAUUCACCAGUCGUCUCUGGGUUGUGUGUGAGACAGAGCUGCCCGUGUCAGUGCCCUGGAGGUGAAGGGAAGAGCCUGUGCCUGCUGCGUGGGAGACUGGUCCAGGGACAGGGAAUCAGGAGUGGUUGGUGAGACAGAGGGGGUGGCCUGCGGGCCCGGGCGGUGGUAAGUGGGCCAGGGCUGUCCCUGGGAGGGGCGGCCUUUCCUGACGGACUCUGUUCCCAUGAGCAUUUGACCAAAACCCAAAUCAAGAACCACAGUCUUGGCUCAGAGGUCACUGCCUGUUUGUACCAAGUCCCCAGCUAAGGGCCAGGACCUGACCAAAACUCGGGGUGUCUGUGGCCUGAGGAUGGUGUGUCCUGGCAUGACCAGUCCAGACCACCAGCUCCAGUUAGUUCAGAGGGUCUCAGCCCCCGGGCUCUGCUCUUUCCUUGCUCCUUCAGGGCCCCAAAGCCCAGGACCCAGCAUCCAUGGGCCGCUGCCGGAGGCCUGGCAGCUCCGCUAACUCCAUCAUGGCUCAUUUGACAGCAAAGGUGUCAGGAAAUAAAAUGUACUGACAAGUGGCUGAAGAUGCUUGGAGACUGGCCAAAAUAUAAGAACAGCAAGAAGGUGACAUGGCGGUUGGGCCUGGUAGCUCAGGCCUGUAACCCCAGCACUUCGGGAGGCUGAGGUGGGCGGAUCACCUGAGGUCAGGAGU
rnacentral:lncRNA from 1 species